GAUGAACGCUGGCGGCGUGCCUAAUACAUGCAAGUCGAGCGAACAGACGAGGAGCUUGCUCCUCUGACGUUAGCGGCGGACGGGUGAGUAACACGUGGAUAACCUACCUAUAAGACUGGGAUAACUUCGGGAAACCGGAGCUAAUACCGGAUAAUAUAUUGAACCGCAUGGUUCAAUGGUGAAAGACGGUUUUGCUGUCACUUAUAGCUGGAUCCGCGCUGCAUUAGCUAGUUGGUAAGGUAAAGGCUUACCAAGGCAACGAUGCGUGGCCGAACUGAGAGGGGGAUCGGCCACAUUGGAACUUAGACACGGUCCAGACUACUACGGGAGGCAGCAGUAGGGAAUCUUCCGCAAUGGGCGAAAGCUUGACGGAGCAACGCCGCGUGAGUGAUGAAGGUCUUCGGAUCGUAAAACUCGGUUAUUAGGGAAGAACAAAUGUGUAAGUAACUAUGCACUGCUUGACGGUACCUAAUCAGAAAGCCCCGGCUAACUACGUG
rnacentral:rRNA from 1 species